rnacentral:rRNA from 1 species
GAAUGCUGACAUAAGUAACGAUAAAGCGGGUGAAAAGCCCGCUCGCCGGAAGACCAAGGGUUCCUGUCCAACGUUAAUCGGGGCAGGGUGAGUCGACCCCUAAGGCGAGGCCGAAAGGCGUAGUCGAUGGGAAACGGGUUAAUAUUCCCGUACUUGGUGUUACUGCGAAGGGGGGACGGAGAAGGCUAUGUUGGCCGGGCGACGGUUGUCCCGGUUUAAGCGUGUAGGUGUGUGUUCCAGGUAAAUCCGGUUCACUUUAACACUGAGGCGUGAUGACGAGGCACCACGGUGCUGAAGCAACAAAUGCCCUGCUUCCAGGAAAAGCCUCUAAGCCUCAGGUAACAUCAAAUCGUACCCCAAACCGACACAGGUGGUCAGGUAGAGAAUACCAAGGCGCUUGAGAGAACUCGGGUGAAGGAACUAGGCAAAAUGGUGCCGUAACUUCGGGAGAAGGCACGCUGACACGUAGGUGAAGUGGUUUACCCAUGGAGCUGAAGUCAGUCGAAGAUACCAGCUGGCUGCAACUGUUUAUUAAAAACACAGCACUGUGCAAACACGAAAGUGGACGUAUACGGUGUGACGCCUGCCCGGUGCCGGAAGGUUAAUUGAUGGGGUCAGCGCAAGCGAAGCUCCUGAUCGAAGCCCCGGUAAACGGCGGCCGUAACUAUAACGGUCCUAAGGUAGCGAAAUUCCUUGUCGGGUAAGUUCCGACCUGCACGAAUGGCGUAAUGAUGGCCAGGCUGUCUCCACCCGGGACUCAGUGAAAUUGAACUCGCUGUGAAGAUGCAGUGUACCCGCGGCAAGACGGAAAGACCCCGUGAACCUUUACUAUAGCUUGACACUGAACACUGGUCCUUGAUGUGCAGGAUAGGUGGGAGGCUUUGAAGUGUGGACGCCAGUCUGCAUGGAGCCAUCCUUGAAAUACCACCCUUUAAUGGCUGGUGUUCUAACGUGGGCCCGUGAACCGGGUUGCGGACAGUGUCUGGUGGGUAGUUUGACUGGGGCGGUCUCCUCCUAAAGAGUAACGGAGGAGCACGAAGGUUGGCUAAUCCUGGUCGGACAUCAGGAGGUUAGUGCAAUGGCAUAAGCCAGCUUGACUGCGAGCGUGACGGCGCGAGCAGGUGCGAAAGCAGGUCAUAGUGAUCCGGUGGUUCUGAAUGGAAGGGCCAUCGCUCAACGGAUAAAAGGUACUCCGGGGAUAACAGGCUGAUACCGCCCAAGAGUUCAUAUCGACGGCGGUGUUUGGCACCUCGAUGUCGGCUCAUCACAUCCUGGGGCUGAAGUAGGUCCCAAGGGUAUGGCUGUUCGCCAUUUAAAGUGGUACGCGAGCUGGGUUUAGAACGUCGUGAGACAGUUCGGUCCCUAUCUGCCGUGGGCGCUGGAAGAUUGAGGGGGGCUGCUCCUAGUACGAGAGGACCGGAGUGGACGCAUCACUGGUGUUCGGGUUGUCAUGCCAAUGGCACUGCCCGGUAGCUACAUGCGGAAGAGAUAAGUGCUGAAAGCAUCUAAGCACGAAACUUGCCCCGAGAUGAAUCUUCCCUGAGCCUUUAAGGCUCCUGAAGGAACGUUGAAGACGACGACGUUGAUAGGCCGGGUGUGUAAGCGCAGCGAUGCGUUGAGCUAACCGGUACUAAUGAACCGUGAGGCUUAACCUUACAACGCCGAAG